ACGGGUGAGUAACACGUGGGUAACCUACCUAUAAGACUGGAAUAACUUCGGGAAACCGGAGCUAAUGCCGGAUAACAUAUAGAACCGCAUGGUUCUAUAGUGAAAGAUGGUUUUGCUAUCACUUAUAGAUGGACCCGCGCCGUAUUAGCUAGUUGGUAAGGUAAUGGCUUACCAAGGCGACGAUACGUAGCCGACCUGAGAGGGUGAUCGGCCACACUGGAACUGAGACACGGUCCAGACUCCUACGGGAGGCAGCAGUAGGGAAUCUUCCGCAAUGGGCGAAAGCCUGACGGAGCAACGCCGCGUGAGUGAUGAAGGUUUUCGGAUCGUAAAACUCUGUUAUUAGGGAAGAACAAAUGCGUAAGUAACUGUGCGCAUCUUGACGGUACCUAAUCAGAAAGCCACGGCUAACUACGUGCCAGCAGCCGCGGUAAUACGUAGGUGGCAAGCGUUAUCCGGAAUUAUUGGGCGUAAAGCGCGCGUAGGCGGUUUCUUAAGUCUGAUGUGAAAGCCCACGGCUCAACCGUGGAGGGUCAUUGGAAACUGGGAAACUUGAGUGCAGAAGAGGAAAGUGGAAUUCCAUGUGUAGCGGUGAAAUGCGCAGAGAUAUGGAGGAACACCAGUGGCGAAGGCGACUUUCUGGUCUGUAACUGACGCUGAUGUGCGAAAGCGUGGGGAUCAAACAGGAUUAGAUACCCUG
rnacentral:rRNA from 1 species